UCGGAUAUGGUGUAACGGCUAACAUUGCCGCCUCUCAUCCCUGAAUGUUAUCGCGGCAGCUCGGGGUUCGAUUCCCCGUAUCCGAA